UGGGCAACCCGCCGGCAGGUUGGGGAUAACUCCGGGAAACCGGGGCUAAUACCGAAUGAUAAAGUGUGGCGCAUGCCACGCUUUUGAAAGAUGGUUUCGGCUAUCGCUUACAGAUGGGCCCGCGGUGCAUUAGCUAGUUGGUAGGGUAAUGGCCUACCAAGGCAACGAUGCAUAGCCGACCUGAGAGGGUGAUCGGCCACACUGGGACUGAGACACGGCCCAGACUCCUACGGGAGGCAGCAGUAGGGAAUCUUCCGCAAUGGACGAAAGUCUGACGGAGCAACG
rnacentral:rRNA from 1 species